UGGAGUAUUCCAACCCAU
rnacentral:snRNA from 1 species